rnacentral:tmRNA from 1 species
GUAAUGGUUUCGACAGGCAGGGUGAAGUGCGGUAAGCAUACCGUGGUUGUGCACGUUAAAACACCGAGGUUUAUUAAAUAUAAACGCAAACACAAAUUAUGCUUUCGCUUGCUAGCAUAAGCAAGCCACUUUAAAUAAGUGUAACCUCUUAUUAUUUUUUGCUUGCGGAAAUAAUAAGGGUCAGACAGCAGGCUUUGAUGAAUACUCUUGCUUCGGAGUACGAUUCGAGAAAUAGAGCUAGUGAUUAAAAGGUAUUGUUUGUUUUCCUUUUAAUCAUAAAAACUAAAUGAAUAAACUAAGUAUGUAGAAAACUAAUGGAAUCUUGUUUGGACAGGAGUUCGACUCUCCUCUAGUCCACCA